rnacentral:rRNA from 1 species
UACGAAGGGGGCUAGCGUUGCUCGGAAUCACUGGGCGUAAAGGGCGCGUAGGCGGCCGAUCAAGUCAGGGGUGAAAGCCUGUGGCUCAACCACAGAAUUGCCUUUGAUACUGUUUGGCUCGAGACCGGAAGAGGUUGGUGGAACUGCGAGUGUAGAGGUGAAAUUCGUAGAUAUUCGCAAGAACACCAGUGGCGAAGGCGGCCAACUGGUCCGGUACUGACGCUGAGGUGCGAAGCGUGGGGAGCAAACAGG